UACGUAGGUGGCGAGCGUUGUCCGGAUUUACUGGGCGUAAAGAGAGCGUAGGCGGAUUUUUAAGUGAGAUGUGAAAUACUCGGGCUCAACUUGAGUGCUGCAUUUCAAACUGGAAGUCUAGAGUGCAGGAGAGGAGAAUGGAAUUCCUAGUGUAGCGGUGAAAUGCGUAGAGAUUAGGAAGAACACCAGUGGCGAAGGCGAUUCUCUGGACUGUAACUGACGCUGAGGCUCGAAAGCGUGGGGAGCAAACAGG
rnacentral:rRNA from 1 species